rnacentral:lncRNA from 1 species
GUACUCAUCUCCAAAAUCCAACAGCAACAGGUCAAACAAGCCUUGGAAUCUAAGCUAAUAGCCUAAGAAGAAGGACAUCAGAGCAGCUUCUCAUAAUCUGCAGCUUUCAGAAAUAAGACAUAAAAUUCUGAGCAACCCACACAAUCUCAAGGACAAACAUGAAAAGGUGGGACUGUGGCCCUAUUAGAAACUCUGCCUGAGCAGCUCUAUAAAAAUGUUGCAGAGAUGAAUCUGUGGUGUUAUAUGAUACCAACUACAUUAUCAUGAAGUAGCAAUAAGAAGCAAACCUUCUUAUUGCUACUUCAUGAUAAUGUAGUUGAAUGAUAGUAGAAUGAUACUCUACCAUAAGAAGUCAGCUUCAGAGAAGAAUUUAAGCAACCAAUACUCAUCUGCAUCAUUCUUUGCCCAGUGCAAGAUAUUUCUCUGAAAUGACUUUCUGAGUUCUAAAUUACUCAGAUGCUCACAUCAAAGUGCUUUAUCUUCCCCCAGCUGGGAGUUCUGGUUAUUUCCUCACCAUUCGUUUGUUCUGUUGCUCAGCCUAUAUCCUAUAUUUACUUUUUCUUAGUUUCAUACCAUUAUUCUCAGUUAUUUUGACAGCACUUAAAAAAAAAAAAAAAAAAAGAACUGUAGGAAAUACUUCCAAGAUUUGUUUCAAAUGAAGACUGGAAGAAUAAACGUUUUAUAAGUUCAAGAAAAAAAUAUGAAUCUUCAGAACUUCACAGCAUUGCCCUAGAGUAGAACUCGGAAGUUUUCUUCUUAAAUACAUAAAAUGACUUGAAAGCAAGUUACCUGUCUCCAGCUGCACACACACCCCUACUUGUAUAUUUUCAGAAAUAUAUAGUGGGACUAAUGGACAAUCAGAAGAUAUUUUUAACUUCAGGUAUCACUGAUGAUGGAGUUGAUGAGGAAAAAGUAAAAUGUUCCUGUGGUUAAGAAGCUCUGUCUUCCCCUGUGUCUGCCUAGAGAACCUGAAUGUGAACAAGUCUGUGGGACGUGAUGAGAUGCAUCUGCAGGUCCUAAGGGAACUGCUGGAUGAAGUUCACAGAAUCAUUGAGGUUGGAAAAGACCUCAAAGAUCAUCUGGUCCAACCAUCACUCUACUACCAACGGCACCCACUGAACCAUGUUCCUAAGCACCAAGUCCACCUUUACUAAAACACUCCCCGGGACAGUGACUCCACCACUUCCCUGAGUAACCCGUUCCAAUGCCUGACUACUCUUUCUGAGAAGAAAUGUCUACAAAUUUCCAGAGUAAACCUCCCCUGGAACAACUUGGGGCCAUUCCCUUUUGUCCUAUCACUACUUAUCUGUGAGAAGAGGCUGACAUCCAGCUCCCCACAAUUUCCUUUCAGGCAGUUGUAGAGACCAAUAAGGUCUUCCCUGAGCAUCCUCUUCUCCAGACUAAACAACCCCAGUUUCCUUAGCCAUUACUCACAGGACUUGUGUUCCAGGCCCUUCACCAGCUUCAUAACCCUUCUCAGACACACUCUAGGGCCUUAAUGUCUUUCUUAUAAUGCCCAAAGCUGAACACAGUACUCGAGGUGUGGCCUCACCAGAGCAGAAUACAAGGGGACAAUCACCUCCCUGGUCCUGCUGGCUACACUGUUCCUGAUACAUGCCAGGAUUUUUGGUCACCUGGACACACUGCUCAUUCAGGGGAGCAUCAAUCAGCACCCCCAGAUCUUUUUCCUCUGCACAGCUUUCGAGCCAAUCUUCCCCAAGCCUGUAGCUCUGCAUAGGGUUUUCGUGGCCAAAGUGCAGGACCCUCCACUUAGUCAUGUUCAGCCUCAUCCCAUUGGCCUCUGCUCAUCCACCCUGUACAGAUCCCUUGCAGGGCCUUCUUGUCUUCUCGCAGAUCAACACUCCCCUCCAACUUGGUGUUGUCUGCAGACUUACUGAGGGUGUACGCCAUUCCCUCAUCCAAAACAAGAUAUUAAAGAGGAUGGGCCCCAACACCUACCCCUGGGAAGACCACUUGUGACUGGUCAUCAGCUGGCUUUCACUAUGUUCAACACUACUCUCUGGGCUCAGCCAUCCAGCCAGUUUUUACCUCAGCAAGGACUGUACCUGUCCAAGACACAGACUGCCAGCUUCUCCAAGAGAACACUAUGGGAGACUGUGUCAAAG